CCCGAAAGAUCGAAGGGGGGAGAUUCACCGCUAUUCGCGCGGUCGGCUUCUGCGAUUGAGUGUGAUGUGUCAAGUUUACUUGAUUCACGCGCUUGCGUGGAUGAGCCCGGCUGCGUUGGCGUGCACUUCUCCUCCUUAGUAGGACGUCGCGACCCGCUGGGUGUCGUUUGAAGGGGCUUGUUUGGUGUCUUCGGUGUCGAGGCUUCGGUCUCAAUCCGGAACCGGCUUGCUCUGGAUCGACUGCCCGGCGGUAUGCAAUACGGUAUCGAGCCGCAGAGAGAUCUGCGUUCCUGACCCUCGACCGGUUGCCUCGGUAGCCCCGGAAAGUCGGUUGUUGACCGUCUCCGGAAGCCGGGUGACUUGGCUCUUGUGUGUCUCGAACUGGCUCCCAUUGGCUGUGGGUGCUUCGGCACCUCCGGGAUACUCUCA
rnacentral:rRNA from 1 species